GACGAACGCUGGCGGCGUGCUUAACACAUGCAAGUCGAACGAAGAGCGAUGGACGCUUGCUUCUAUCAAUCUUAGUGGCGAACGGGUGAGUAACGCGUAAUCAACCUGCCCUUCAGAGGGGGACAACAGUUGGAAACGACUGCUAAUACCGCAUACGAUCUAAUCUCGGCAUCGAGGAUAGAUGAAAGGUGGCCUCUACAUGUAAGCUAUCACUGAAGGAGGGGAUUGCGUCUGAUUAGCUAGUUGGAGGGGUAACGGCCCACCAAGGCGAUGAUCAGUAGCCGGUCUGAGAGGAUGAACGGCCACAUUGGGACUGAGACACGGCCCAGACUCCUACGGGAGGCAGCAGUGGGGAAUCUUCCGCAAUGGACGAAAGUCUGACGGAGCAACGCCGCGUGAGCGAUGACGGCCUUCGGGUUGUAAAGCUCUGUUAAUCGGGACGAAAGGCCUUCUUGCGAAUAGGGAGAAGGAUUGACGGUACCGGAAUAGAAAGCCACGGCUAACUACGUG
rnacentral:rRNA from 1 species